GCAAGUCGAACGAGUUCUGAUUAUUGAAAGGUGCUUGCAUCUUGAUUUGAUUUUGAACGAGUGGCGGACGGGUGAGUAACACGUGGGUAACCUGCCCUUAAGUGGGGGAUAACAUUUGGAAACAGAUGCUAAUACCGCAUAAAUCCAAGAACCGCAUGGUUCUUGGCUGAAAGAUGGCGUAAGCUAUCGCUUUUGGAUGGACCCGCGGCGUAUUAGCUAGUUGGUGAGGUAACGGCUCACCAAGGCAAUGAUACGUAGCCGAACUGAGAGGUUGAUCGGCCACAUUGGGACUGAGACACGGCCCAAACUCCUACGGGAGGCAGCAGUAGGGAAUCUUCCACAAUGGACGCAAGUCUGAUGGAGCAACGCCGCGUGAGUGAAGAAGGCUUUCGGGUCGUAAAACUCUGUUGUUGGAGAAGAAUGGUCGGCAGAGUAACUGUUGUCGGCGUGACGGUAUCCAACCAGAAAGCCACGGCUAACUACGUGCCAGCAGCCGCGGUAAUACGUAGGUGGCAAGCGUUAUCCGGAUUUAUUGGGCGUAAAGCGAGCGCAGGCGGUUUUUUAAGUCUGAUGUGAAAGCCCUCGGCUUAACCGAGGAAGUGCAUCGGAAACUGGGAAACUUGAGUGCAGAAGAGGACAGUGGAACUCCAUGUGUAGCGGUGAAAUGCGUAGAUAUAUGGAAGAACACCAGUGGCGAAGGCGGCUGUCUGGUCUGUAACUGACGCUGAGGCUCGAAAGCAUGGGUAGCGAACAGGAUUAGAUACCCUGGUAGUCCAUGCCGUAAACGAUGAAUGCUAGGUGUUGGAGGGUUUCCGCCCUUCAGUGCCGCAGCUAACGCAUUAAGCAUUCCGCCUGGGGAGUACGACCGCAAGGUUGAAACUCAAAGGAAUUGACGGGGGCCCGCACAAGCGGUGGAGCAUGUGGUUUAAUUCGAAGCAACGCGAAGAACCUUACCAGGUCUUGACAUCUUUUGAUCACCUGAGAGAUCAGGUUUCCCCUUCGGGGGCAAAAUGACAGGUGGUGCAUGGUUGUCGUCAGCUCGUGUCGUGAGAUGUUGGGUUAAGUCCCGCAACGAGCGCAACCCUUAUGACUAGUUGCCAGCAUUUAGUUGGGCACUCUAGUAAGACUGCCGGUGACAAACCGGAGGAAGGUGGGGAUGACGUCAAAUCAUCAUGCCCCUUAUGACCUGGGCUACACACGUGCUACAAUGGAUGGUACAACGAGUUGCGAGACCGCGAGGUCAAGCUAAUCUCUUAAAGCCAUUCUCAGUUCGGACUGUAGGCUGCAACUCGCCUACACGAAGUCGGAAUCGCUAGUAAUCGCGGAUCAGCACGCCGCGGUGAAUACGUUCCCGGGCCUUGUACACACCGCCCGUCACACCAUGAGAGUUUGUAACACCCGAAGCCGGUGGCGUAACCCUUUUAGGGAGCGAGCCGUCUAA
rnacentral:rRNA from 1 species